GUCAAUCCUGACAGGACCUGGACUUUGGCUUCUGGAAAUAUGGGGCUGCGUCUAUGCUGACAGGAGCCCACAGCCUCCUCAGGAUGCGCCGUGAGUUUUCUGGGGGAUGUGGGGCCAUGUCCAGGCUGACAGGAGCCCCCGGCCACCUGAGGACCUGCUUAAGGCUUCCAGAGGAUGUGAGGCAUAGUCCACAGUGACAGGAGACCCAGCAUCCUCAGGACCCGCUGACUAUGACUCAGGAACACGUGGGGCCACGUCCGCACUCACAGGAGCCCUGCUUCCUCAGGACCCCCUGGAGGACUCUGGAGGCUCCGUUGGGGGCCACGUCCACAUCAGAAGGGACUCCUCAGAACCACAGGACUGUUGUGCCCAAGAUUGCGAAUCCGAAAAACCAUGGAGAAGCCCACACCGAAGCAAACACACGAGGGUUUAUUUACAAGCUCGAGCUUGUGUCCAAGUAUAGCUGACAGUGCGGAGCAGGGACUUCGACCCCGAGGUCCCCCUGGAGGAUCCUGGAGGCGUUGUUGGGGGUCACGUCCACAUCAGAAGGGACUACUCAGAACCACAGGGGGCCUGGGAUGGAUGGACCUGUUCGAACCCUGAACUUAAAGAGGAAAGACCUUCAUUUUCUUGGCCUCCUUACGUCCCCUCCCAUCCUAUCUAGCUCUUUCCCCCUUCCCCAGAGCUCCUGAGAGAGCAAUUGCAAAUGACCUCAGCUUGGCAGGGUCUGUUGGGGGACAGGCCCAGGGAUUUGGGAUCAGGAAGACCUGGGGUGCGGGCAUACGGGCUGUGCAUUGGGAUUUGAUGCUGCAGACUCAUUCCCUAAGGCUAUCUUGACAACUGGCUUUAUACAUAGAAAAGCUCUCCUUUAUCUUUAAAAGAUGAAGAGCCAGUCAAAGCCUUUUUUCUCUGCCCAUCUGAUUGCUCAGAUUCCAAUGUGAGACGUAUUUCCUGUUAAUAAGGAUAAUUUACUAUCCGUAGUACUAUGGUUAAAAUAUUCUGACACAAGUAAUUCAGAGGGAUGAGAGUUUCUCAUCUCUUUCUUCACAGCUCAGUCACUCCUCAGGAAAUGCAUCGUUAUGGAUUUGGAAAUAACUGAGAGACAUUAUUACCAGUGGUCCUAUUAUUAUGUGAAGGAUGCUUCCCUGAGAUUCUUCCCCUGUUUCAACUGACACUGAAACACUUUGAACUCUUUGGAAGACAAAUGUCAAGGAAAUAAAUG